rnacentral:pre_miRNA from 1 species
AGAUGAUGACUAUGGUGAUGAUGAUGAUGAUGAUGAUGGUAAUGAGGGUGAUUAUCAUUAUCAUUAUCAUCAUCAUCAUCAUCAUCAUCAAAA